UACGUAGGGUGCAAGCGUUGUCCGGAAUUAUUGGGCGUAAAGAGCUCGUAGGCGGUCUGUCGCGUCGGCUGUGAAAUCCCGGAGCUCAACUCCGGGUCUGCAGUCGAUACGGGCAAACUGGAGUACUGCAGGGGAGACUGGAAUUCCUGGUGUAGCGGUGAAAUGCGCAGAUAUCAGGAGGAACACCGGUGGCGAAGGCGGGUCUCUGGGCAGUAACUGACGCUGAGAAGCGAAAGCGUGGGGGAGCGAACAGGA
rnacentral:rRNA from 1 species